GGAUUAGAUACCCUGGUAGUCCACGCCGUAAACGAUGUCUACUAGCUGUUCGCGGCCUUGUGUUGUGAGUAGCGCAGCUAACGCACUAAGUAGACCGCCUGGGGAGUACGGUCGCAAGAUUAAAACUCAAAUGAAUUGACGGGGGCCCGCACAAGCGGUGGAGCAUGUGGUUUAAUUCGACGCAACGCGAAGAACCUUACCUACUCUUGACAUCUACAGAACUUGGCAGAGAUGCCUUGGUGCCUUCGGGAACUGUAAGACAGGUGCUGCAUGGCUGUCGUCAGCUCGUGCUG
rnacentral:rRNA from 1 species